ACAGCCCAAUAAUCGGGCCUGAG
rnacentral:snRNA from 1 species